UACGGAAGGCAGCAGUGGGGAAUAUUGCACAAUGGGCGCAAGCCUGAUGCAGCCAUGCCGCGUGUAUGAAAAAGGCCUUCGGGUUGUAAAGUACUUUCAGUCGUGAGGAAGGUGUUAAGGUUAAUAACCUUAGCAAUUGACGUUAGCGACAGAAGAAGCACCGGCUAACUCCGUGCCAGCAGCCGCGGUAAUACGGAGGGUGCGAGCGUUAAUCGGAAUUACUGGGCGUAAAGGGCACGCAGGCGGUUAAUUAAGUUGGAUGUGAAAUCCCCGGGCUUAACCUGGGAAUGGCAUUCAAGACUGGUUAGCUAGAGUCUUGUAGAGGGGGUAGAAUUCCAUGUGUAGCGGUGAAAUGCGUAGAGAUGUGGAGGAAUACCGGUGGUGAAGGCGGCCCCUGGACAAAGACUGACGCUCAUGUGCGAAAGCGUGGGGAGCAAACAGGGAUUAGAUACC
rnacentral:rRNA from 1 species